rnacentral:misc_RNA from 1 species
GAUGAAGAACCGUAGAGAAAUGCGAUAAGUAGUGUGAAUUGCAGAAUUCAGUGAAUCAUCGAAUCUUUGAACGCACAUUGCGCCCCAUGGUAUUCCGUGGGGCAUGCCUGUUCGAGCGUCAUUUACCCCCUCAAGCUCCGCUUGGUGUUGGGCGUCUGUCCCGCUUCGCGCGCGGACUCGCCCCAAAGGUAUUGGCAGCGGUCGUGCCAGCUUCUCGCGCAGCACAUUGCGCUUCUCGAGGCACCGGUGGGCCCGCGUCCAUCAAGCUCACCCCCCCAGUUUGACCUCGGAUCAGGUAGGGAUACCCGCUGAACUUAAGCAUAUCAAUAAGCGGAGGA